AGUAUGGCCGGGCUAUGGCGGCGAGCACUGGCUACGUGCGACUGUGGGGAGCGGCGCGGUGCUGGGUGCUGCGGCGGCCGAUGCUGGCCGCCGCCGGGGGGCGGGUUCCCACUGCAGCAGGAGCGUGGUUGCUCCGAGGCCAGCGGACCUGCGACGCCUCUCCUCCUUGGGCACUGUGGGGCCGAGGCCCGGCAAUUGGGGGCCAAUGGCGGGGAACAAGCACAAGCCCCGCAGGAAGUCAAAGCGGGGCAAGAAGGAGGCGGAGGACGAGCUGAGCGCCAGGCACCCGGCGGAGCUGGCGAUGGAGCCCACCCCUGAGCUCCCGGCUGAGGUGCUCAUGGUGGAGGUAGAGAACGUUGUCCACGAGGACUUCCAGGUCACGGAGGAGGUGAAAGCCCUGACUGCAGAGAUCGUGAAGACCAUCCGGGACAUCAUUGCCUUGAACCCUCUCUACAGGGAGUCAGUGCUGCA
rnacentral:lncRNA from 1 species